rnacentral:rRNA from 1 species
GACGAACGCUGGCGGCGUGCCUAAUACAUGCAAGUUGAGCGAUGAAGAUUGGUGCUUGCACCAAUUUGAAGAGCAGCGAACGGGUGAGUAACGCGUGGGGAAUCUGCCUUUGAGCGGGGGACAACAUUUGGAAACGAAUGCUAAUACCGCAUAACAACUUUAAACAUAAGUUUUAAGUUUGAAAGAUGCAAUUGCAUCACUCAAAGAUGAUCCCGCGUUGUAUUAGCUAGUUGGUGAGGUAAAGGCUCACCAAGGCGAUGAUACAUAGCCGACCUGAGAGGGUGGUCGGCCACCUUGGGACUGAGACACGGCCCAAACUCCUACGGGAGGCAGCAGUAGGGAAUCUUCGGCAAUAGACGAAAGUCUGACCGAGCAACGCCGCGUGAGUGAAGAAGGUUUUCGGAUCGUAAAACUCUGUUGGUAGAGAAGAACGUUGGUGAGAGUGGAAAGCUCAUCAAGUGACGGUAACUACCCAGAAAGGGACGGCUAACUACGUG